rnacentral:guide_RNA from 1 species
CACAUAAACGAUGAGCGAUAUAAUGUUUUAAAUGAUAGUGAUAAU